rnacentral:rRNA from 1 species
UACGUAGGGGGCAAGCGUUAUCCGGAUUUACUGGGUGUAAAGGGAGCGCAGACGGCAGUGCAAGUCUGGAGUGAAAGCCCGGGGCCCAACCCCGGGACUGCUCUGGAAACUGUACGGCUAGAGUACGGGAGGGGCAGGCGGAAUUCCUAGUGUAGCGGUGAAAUGCGUAGAUAUUAGGAGGAACACCGGCGGCGAAGGCGGCCUGCUGGACCGAAACUGACGCUGAGGCUCGAAAGCGUGGGGAGCAAACAGG